CUUGCUACUGAUCUUAGCGGCGGACGGGUGAGUAAUGCUUAGGAAUCUGCCUAUUAGUGGGGGACAACAUUUCGAAAGGAAUGCUAAUACCGCAUACGUCCUACGGGAGAAAGCAGGGGAUCUUCGGACCUUGCGCUAAUAGAUGAGCCUAAGUCGGAUUAGCUAGUUGGUGGGGUAAAGGCCUACCAAGGCGACGAUCUGUAGCGGGUCUGAGAGGAUGAUCCGCCACACUGGGACUGAGACACGGCCCAGACUCCUACGGGAGGCAGCAGUGGGGAAUAUUGGACAAUGGGCGCAAGCCUGAUCCAGCCAUGCCGCGUGUGUGAAGAAGGCCUUAUGGUUGUAAAGCACUUUAAGCGAGGAGGAGGCUACUUUAGUUAAUACCUAGAGAUAGUGGACGUUACUCGCAGAAUAAGCACCGGCUAACUCUGUGCCAGCAGCCGCGGUAAUACAGAGGGUGCAAGCGUUAAUCGGAUUUACUGGGCGUAAAGCGCGCGUAGGCGGCUAAUUAAGUCAAAUGUGAAAUCCCCGAGCUUAACUUGGGAAUUGCAUUCGAUACUGGUUAGCUAGAGUGUGGGAGAGGAUGGUAGAAUUCCAGGUGUAGCGGUGAAAUGCGUAGAGAUCUGGAGGAAUACCGAUGGCGAAGGCAGCCAUCUGGCCUAACACUGACGCUGAGGUGCGAAAGCAUGGGGAGCAAACAGGAUUAGAUACCCUGGUAGUCCAUGCCGUAAACGAUGUCUACUAGCCGUUGGGGCCUUUGAGGCUUUAGUGGCGCAGCUAACGCGAUAAGUAGACCGCCUGGGGAGUACGGUCGCAAGACUAAAACUCAA
rnacentral:rRNA from 1 species